ACUGACUGGCUCAGCUUGUGCCUACCCUCUGCUGGCAGGCGCGGGUAACCCGUUGAACCCCAUUCGUGAUAGGGAUCAGUGAUUGCAAUUCUUCCCCGUGAAC
rnacentral:ncRNA from 1 species